UACGGAGGGUGCAAGCGUUAUCCGGAUUCACUGGGUUUAAAGGGAGCGUAGGUGGGGUGGUAAGUCAGUGGUGAAAUCUCCGGGCUUAACUCGGAAACUGCCGUGGAUACUAUUAGUCUUGAAUCUCGUGGAGGUAAGCGGAAUAUGUCAUGUAGCGGUGAAAAUGCUUAGAUAUGACAUAGAACACCGAUAGCGAAGGCAGCUUGCUACACGAGUAUUGACACUGAGGCACGAAAAGCGUGGGGGAUCAAACAGG
rnacentral:rRNA from 1 species